rnacentral:misc_RNA from 1 species
GUAAUGCGAUAAGUAGUGUGAAUUGCAGAAUUCAGUGAAUCAUCGAAUCUUUGAACGCAUAUUGCGCCCCUUGGUAUUCCAUGGGGCAUGCCUGUUCGAGCGUCAUCUACACCCUCAAGCUCUGCUUGGUGUUGGGCGUCUUUGUCCCGCCUCCGCGCGCGGACUCGCCCCAAAUUCAUUGGCAGCGGUCCUUGCCUCCUCUCGCGCAGCACAUUGCGCUUCUCGAGGUGUUGCGGCCCGCGUCCAGAAAGCAAUCGUUACCGUCUUUGACCUCGGAUCAGGUAGGGAUACCCGCUGAACUUAAGC